UUCCCUUAGUGUAGCGGUGAAAUGCGUAGAUACUUAGGAGGAAUAACAGUAGCGAAGGCGGCUCUCUGGACUGUACCUGACACUGAGGCACGAAAGCGUGGGGAGCAAACAGGAUUAGAUACCCUGGUAGUCCACGCCGUAAACGAUGAGUACUAGGUGUCGGGGGUUACCCCCCUCGGUGCCGCAGCUAACGCAUUAAGUACUCCGCCUGGGAAGUACGCUCGCAAGAGUGAAACUCAAAGGAAUUGACAGGGGACCCGCACAAGUAGCGGAGCAUGUGGUUUAAUUCGAAGCAACGCGAAGAACCUUACCUAAGCUUGACAUCCCACUGUCCUCUCCCUAAUCGGAGAUUUCCCUUCGGGGCCAGUGGUGACAGGUGGUGCAUGGUUGUCGUCAGCUCGUGUCGUGAGAUGUUGGGUUAAGUCCCGCAACGAGCGCAACCCUUGCCUUUAGUUGCCAGCAUUAAGUUGGGCACUCUAGAGGGACUGCCGAGGAUAACUCGGAGGAAGGUGGGGAUGACGUCAAAUCAUCAUGCCCCUUAUGCUUAGGGCUACACACGUGCUACAAUGGGUGGUACAGAGGGUUGCCAAGCCGCGAGGUGGAGCUAAUCCCUUAAAGCCAUUCUCAGUUCGGAUUGUAGGCUGAAACUCGCCUACAUGAAGCUGGAGUUACUAGUAAUCGCAGAUCAGAAUGCUGCGGUGAAUGCGUUCCCGGGUCUUGUACACACCGCCCGUCACACCAUGGAAGUUGGGGGCGCCCGAAGCCGGUUAGCUAACCUUUAGGAAGCGG
rnacentral:rRNA from 1 species